AUUGAACGCUGGCGGCAUGCUUUACACAUGCAAGUCGAACGGUAACAGGUUAAGCUGACGAGUGGCGAACGGGUGAGUAAUGCAUCGGAACGUGCCCGGUCGUGGGGGAUAACGCAGCGAAAGCUGCGCUAAUACCGCAUAAGAUCUGAGGUUGAAAGCGGGGGACCGUAAGGCCUAGCGCGAUCGGAGCGGCCGAUGUCAGAUUAGGUAAUUGGGCGGGUAAAGGCUCACCAAGCCAACGAUCUGUAGAUGGUAUGAGAGGCCGACCAGCCACACGGGGACUGAGACACGGCCCAGACUCCUACGGGAGGCAGCAGUGGGGAAUUUUGGACAAUGGGCGAAAGCCUGAUCCAGCAAUGCCGCGUGCAGGAAGAAGGCCUUCGGGUUGUAAACUGCUUUUGUACGGAGCGAAAAGGUCUCCUCUAAUACAGGGGGCUCAUGACGGUACCGUAAGAAUAAGCACCGGCUAACUACGUGCCAGCCGCCGCAGUAA
rnacentral:rRNA from 1 species